GAUGAACGCUGGCGGCGUGCCUAAUACAUGCAAGUCGAGCGAACAGACGAGGAGCUUGCUCCUCUGACGUUAGCGGCGGACGGGUGAGUAACACGUGGAUAACCUACCUAUAAGACUGGGAUAACUUCGGGAAACCGGAGCUAAUACCGGAUAAUAUAUUGAACCGCAUGGUUCAAUAGUGAAAGACGGUUUUGCUGUCACUUAUAGAUGGAUCCGCGCCGCAUUAGCUAGUUGGCAAGGUAACGGCUUACCAAGGCAACGAUGCGUAGCCGACCUGAGAGGGUGAUCGGCCACACUGGAACUGAGACACGGUCCAGACUCCUACGGGAGGCAGCAGUAGGGAAUCUUCCGCAAUGGGCGAAAGCCUGACGGAGCAACGCCGCGUGAGUGAUGAAGGUCUUCGGAUCGUAAAACUCUGUUAUUAGGGAAGAACAAAUGUGUAAGUAACUAUGCACGUCUUGACGGUACCUAAUCAGAAAGCCACGGCUAGCUACGUG
rnacentral:rRNA from 1 species